rnacentral:rRNA from 1 species
UAGGGAAUCUUCGGCAAUGGGGGGAACCCUGACCGAGCAACGCCGCGUGAGUGAAGAAGGUUUUCGGAUCGUAAAGCUCUGUUGUUAAGGAAGAACGAGUGUGAGAAUGGAAAGUUCAUGCUGUGACGGUACUUAACCAGAAAGGGACGGCUAACUACGUGCCAGCAGCCGCGGUAAUACGUAGGUCCCGAGCGUUGUCCGGAUUUAUUGGGCGUAAAGCGAGCGCAGGCGGUUAGAAAAGUCUGAAGUGAAAGGCAGUGGCUCAACCAUUGUAGGCUUUGGAAACUGUUUAACUGGAGUGCAGAAGGGGAGAGUGGAAUUCCAUGUGUAGCGGGGAAAUGCGUAGAUAUAUGGGGGAAAACCGGUGGCGAAAGCGGCUCUCUGGUCUGUAACUGACGCUGAGGCACGAAAGAGUGGGGAGCGAACAGG